rnacentral:rRNA from 1 species
UGGGGAAUAUUGCGCAAUGGGGGAAACCCUGACGCAGCAACGCCGCGUGAAGGAUGAAGGUUUUCGGAUUGUAAACUUCUUUGAUGAGGGACGAACAAAUGACGGUACCUCAAAAACAAGCCACGGCUAACUACGUGCCAGCAGCCGCGGUAAUACGUAGGUGGCGAGCGUUGUCCGGAAUUACUGGGUGUAAAGGGCGUGUAGGCGGGAACACAAGUCAGAUGUGAAAUACCGGGGCUUAACCUCGGGGCUGCAUCUGAAACUGUGUUUCUUGAGUGUCGGAGAGGAAAGUGGAAUUCCCAGUGUAGCGGUGAAAUGCGUAGAUAUUGGGAGGAACACCAGUGGCGAAGGCGACUUUCUGGACGAUAACUGACGCUGAGGCGCGAAAGCGUGGGGAGCAAACAGG